AUGUGCUUAAACAUCUUAGUAUAGAAGAACAAUCAUUCAUCAUUUUUUGAAUAGUCACAUUUCAAAAAUUUUAAUCAAUAUAAUUAUCAUUARGAAAGAGCUGAGAAUCCAGAAAACUAGCAUUUAAACUGGUAUUUUUGGCAAAGUCAAACAACAUCACAUGUGCUGGACAGAAGUCAAUUACCAAAAUAUUUUAUAUUAAAACAUAAGGUUUGUUGCGCAAAGAAAAUAUGCUAAUGGAAGUUAUUUUCCUUUUGGGGUUCAGGUCUGUAGAAAUAGUAUAUAUCAGCUUAAUUUUGAAGAGAACAGACUUCCCCUUUUCAUUGUCUAUUCUGAUUCUUAGCUUUGAGGGGGUUAACUGUUGGACUGAUGUAGACUGGAAAUGAAAGCAAUUGAAAAUGUUAUUAAGCUGCAAAAGGUAUUUAAGUUGUCAAAGUCAUCCACCACUUCAGUAAACUCUCACUCCUGGCAAUUAGCCAGUUCAGUCAGUUUUUAAAAAUUAUAGCAAUUAAUUUCUCCUGACCACUGUUAAUUUUAAACCUCGGUCCUUCACCUUUCUUAUGCCCCAGAGGAAACAGUGCAGAUCCUUAAGGCUAAGAGCAGCCUCUGCAGCCUGUCCCAUCCAUGUCCCCCUGUUCCCCCCAAGCUGCAAAGACAGCUGGAUUGGGUACAGUUGGGUACAGCUGGCACCUCUUGUGUGGGGAGAGGGAAGGGGUAAAAGGCAGGAGAUGCUCCAGGCAGAGGCUACAGGAGAGGAGGRGAUGGUUGCCCAGGGGCCCGCACUGAGUUAGAUGCCUAAGAAGUUCAUUGGGAGAAUUAGGUCUUGCAACUGGGUGCCUGGUAGACUGAGUGCCUAAACUAGCCAACACCCAUCAGAAAAGAGAGUUAUGGCUACACCCCAUCUUUCCCAGGUGCUUUUUGGACUGAGUUGCUGAGUAAAUACUGCAAAAGAUCAAGGUGCUUGAACACCACUGCAAGAAGCAGACAGGGAUAGACUGUCUUUUAAAGCUUGUACAUAACCAUGACUUAUUUUUGUUCUGAAAGCAACUUAUGUGCUUCCCAUAUGGGUGUUUUUGAAAUGCAGCCCCRAAAUAACAACCUCGGUUGGGAGUGAGAGUACAGAGGAAUGAGCAAAGCUGUAAACAGCCAAAUUCUCCAGGGAAAUAAGUGGCAGUUAGGAGUUCCUAAUCAAAGGCUAUUUCAUGCCUUUAUAGGCAUUAUUAAACUCCUAAAGGAGCAAGUUAGACUUGGAAACUCCCCAUCUGAGAAAUUCGCUCCAGAGAGUCUUGGAUGCCACCUCCCCAUCAAGUCUCAGAUCCUGAAAGCACUGAUUAGCAGUUGCUGACAACAUUGUCUCAAAAGCAGUUCCCAUAGAUUUGGAAGGUGAGUAAAACCCCUAUGGCUGCUGAGCAGAGUGCCCAGGGCUUACUCCAAGGAUCACACCAGACAGUCAGCACUCUGGGCCGGAGAAAGAGCCAGAAAAGCGCCCUUGGCAGGAGGCAAAAGCAGUCAGUGCCUGGGAGCAGGGCUGUUCAGGGCUGAGGACGCCAAGUCUGGUGAGGACUUCACCAUUCUGCCUGAAGGGUGAGGCUAAGUGUCUAUAGAAGAAUCCACAACUUUAGCCAAAGUAGAUGCUAGUUUAUCCAUUCCAGCAGAGGCUAGCAGUGAGCUAACAUACAGGUAGUGUGAGUGCUCCCAUGACCAUGCUCUGCAAUGACAGAGCUGACACAGAAUCAUACCAAUCCUGUCCUGCUGCUGGCAUGUAGGACAGACAGAAUUCAUGGCCAAAGCAGCAGAGACUAUUCCCCUGCUCAAGUAUUGCAGUCUCUUGAACUGCCUCUUAAUAUUAAACUCUAAUGUUUUUUUUCCCCUGCUGCCUCUGAUGCUGCCUUGGGAGGGGCAUCAAUCUGUUCCCAGCACAGGAUGGGUAUUUGGUUUGCACCGGUGUGGACUGGCUGGGGGAGCAUCAUUCCAGCACCUAGGUGGUGACUGCAGCACAACAUCCCUCAGCCUAUGAUUUCCCUGCUCUUCUCCCAGGCAUUUCCCAUAUGCGAAGGCCUUACUACCCAUGGAGGGAUGGAUCUACAGAAGCUAUGCCUUUCAAACAAAGGGUAAUUUCCACCGGGCAAAGAAAUUGUUAAUGCAGUUGGAGAUUUUUGACAUGGUCCUGUGUGUUUAACAAGGAGAGGUAUCAUACCAUCAGCAUGAGCAAUGUCAGGAGACCAGAGGAAAGAAGUGUUCCAGGAUCCGUGGGAUAGUGUCACAGUCAGCCCCACUUUCAAAGAGGAGCRAUCCCAACGAGAUCUGGGGCCCCAACUCUGGAGUCCUCAGGAAUGUGAUGGCUCCUGUGGUGGAUUCUGGCCCUGUGACURAGAGGAGAGGGAGAUGAAACCUUGUGGGAGAUGAGAGUGAUCUGAGCUGGACUCUGAGCAAUGAGUCCCACAGUAUUUUUCUGAGAUCCAAAUCCUGAAGGACUCAUCAGCUGUUUGGAGAUUUACUGUAAAACCACAAGGAUUUGCAGUGGUUAUUGAGCAGCCAUAUGCUCAGCUCAGUGCAGUGCCCUUUUGCACUUCUGGCCAAGCUGCCUAUCUGUCCACUUUAAAGUUCUCCCUGCUGGCAAGGGUUUACAUUAGCUCAGCUACAGCGAGGACAUCAGAUUUAUCCCCUAUUUGCCCUUUUCGGUAUUCAAAAAUAAAAUUAGUCCAGCAUGAUAGAUGCAGUUGCUAGUGGUGUCUAAACAACUCAUAACUGAGGAUGCAAUAAGCCAUGAUGGACGCAGAUCUCCAAUCAACCCCGUGAACUACUGUAUGCUGGAAAAUCUUGGAGAUUCAUUCUGCUAACAAAAACCCUGGCUUUUCUUCACCUUUUCCUUCGCUUAAAUGGGGAGGACAGAGGAGCUGCUUAGCUGUUCAUCUGAAAAUACUAAGUAUUUUUUAAGUAUCCAUGCUUUGUAUUGGCAGUGAGAGCAAAAAGCUGUCAUACAUCCUCUUCAUCUUCCUGGAGGUGCAGGAUUGUGUCUCUGUGGUGCAGACCUGGAGCACAAGGUUUGGUAAGGCUGAGUGUAUAAGGGCUAAAGCACAGCAGUCAGUGGGUCAUCCAUCCUAUUUUUAGUARUGCACUCUGCACCUGAAGCAGCCUUGUUUGGCUGCUGGUGGUGAGUAAAACCCRGAAAGCCAGUAACCUUUCUCAGGUCAUGCUCUCAUGGGUGAUGGAUGGAGUGAAGGGCACUUUACAAGCUCCUGCUGUUCCCCAAAAGUUUGCAAAGCCUCCAGAAGGAAAAGCAGAGCAAGGAAGAGGCUUUGCAGGAAGCUCAAAGCUCUGGCAGAUCGUUUAUUUCUGCUUGAUCGCCAAGGAYGUGAAGCAAUUGCUAGCAAGGCGCUGCAAGUGUGAGAGAAGGGGAGUGCCCUUUCCCACUGUCUCACCCUGUUGGUGGUUGCAUAAGCCUCAAAGUACAGAUCCUGAGGUUGCCAUGCCAACUUGCACAGUUCCUCCCAUCCACCUCCCCAUCCCAACARUGCUGUGGGCCUGAAGGAGCGGGAGUCCAUCCUGGAACAAAACCAACGACUGACUGGCAGCAGAGGCUCUGCUCCAUCUGUGGAGCUGAASGAAGGACUCUGUGAGCUGUGCAUGCCCUCGUGCCACCCAUGAGAGAUUCACCAGAGCAAGYGGUUUGCAGCACUUCUGCUUCCAAGUUCUGAGUGCUUCACUUUGCUACUGAAUAUGGCUUCAAGUUCUCAUUGACAGYAGAGUCUGUGCUGUUACCCAUCGAAGGAAUCACAAGUUCAGCAUGAGUCUGUGUGCCUGCUUUCCCUUCUGUAGAAUUAAAAUAGAGCAAAGAGCCUUUCAAAGGCACUGGGAAGGAGGAAUCACUAUUUCCAGACCCUUACAUAAACGGUCUUCAAGUGCAAAGGUGGAAAAACUUGAACUCCUCUGGUUCUUUUCCUGCAACCCCCCCAUUAAAAAGGGCACCAUACAGACUUAGGUUAUAUGGUAAAAGGGUCCAACCCUUGAGAGAGAACAAAAAAAUCAGUGUGACUUAGGUCUAUACAGCAUAUAAGAGGCUGGCAGACAAAGCAGCUCCCUGGUUUUGCAUUUUAUCUUAAUUAGCAGUGAUUUUCAGCACAAAUUCUUAUGGUUAGCCCCUUUCCCAUUUUGUGUGACCUCCCACAUAAAUCACAAACCCUUUUCUCUACACUCCCGCAAUACCAAGAAUGGAAAUCCUGAUGAGUUAUUUUGCCAGUAAUUAAAUUUGUCCCUUCUGUUCAUUUCACAGAUGCAGUUGCCCUCUGAUUCAAAGCAAAGUGCAGGUCAGUGCCAAUGGGAGCUUUUAAUAAUCUGGUAGUCUGAACCGGCACUGAAGAUGGAAAGGUUUUUCAUUAAUUGGACUGCUGUGUAAUUAUCUAAGAGAGACAAACUCCUCUGGACAGCRGAAGGCUGGGAGUGUGCAGAGUGAUGGAAAAGGUAAUAAGUAAAUUUAUACUCCUGUACACAUCCUCUGAGCCUUCAGCCAGAACAAACACAUAGAAAACACCUUAGAUCUGAUUUUGACUCAGCAGCUUGUUUUGUCAUUUACACCAGCGUAAAAACCACUUUGAUAGGCUUUCCUAUCAGGGUGAUCUCUUUUUACUUUGCUAAAACUGGGGUGCCAGGCUAGCACAGUCUGCAGCCUGAGCAGAGGACACAGGCUCACAGCAGGGAAAGGUUGGUGCUGCCCUCCUGCUUCUGCUGAGCGGGGAUCGAGGGGGAUUGCCCCAGCCUUGAAAUAUGGCCCCUGAGGAGGCAGGAAACAGCAAUAGUGCUGUUGGGGUCAUACAGACAGGACAUGAUUGUCACUGCUGCUAAAAAACCUGCAUUUUCCUGAUUCCAGAUCGUCAGAGAGAUUUGCAGGCAGAGGAAUCAGGUGGGUUCAGAAAAAAUCUUUAAUAUCACAUUAACAAAAGGGGUCCAUUCAGAUUUGACCCCUGUCAGUAAAUAUGUGCAAAUACAGAAGCUUUAAUCAGAGUUCUGAUUUUUUAAUUAAAAAAUAAGAUGCUAGUCAUUUCCACUGCAGAGAAAAACCUGUCCAUGYAGCAUCCUGAGGGCCUCUUUCCUCUUAUCUAGUUGGUUUUAAUCUUGCAGUUUUUAAGCCUGUUUUAUGAUUUUGAGGACCUGACAUAUAUUUGUGAGAGGUAGCAGUAGGCGACACAGCCUUUUAAAAACUGGGCCAAAGCAGUUUUGUGCUCUGGUUCCUUUCAAGGACGCAGAUGAUGUUAUUGACAUGUCCAUUAACUGUACUUCCCAGGAAGGUUCUGGUGCUCUGCAGUGAGUUUGUUAUACACACAUCUCUGUGUGCUGUGUCACCUCCUGGCCAUAGAGAUGAUGCCGUGGACUGGGGACUGAGGGCUAUUUCCAGUCAUGCAGCCUGAAGGCUGUUAUUUGUGUGGCCCUUUGYAGACAGACAAAACUCAUUCUGCCCAUGCUCUGAACUAGCCAAAAGCUAUUAUCCCUCACCAGGACCAAUGAACUCACGCUCAGCAGCUGGCUCAUUAGUGAUGGCUGCUCAGUUUUCAGUUAGUUUAGACUGUGGGCAGGGGAAGCUGAAGUCUGGAGCUGCUUACUCCAAGUAACCUGGGAGUAACUGUUUAAAACCUGGAUGCACCUCCUGUUUUUUCCAUCAGCAAACUGCUAAAAUAUUUAUGUUCCUGCUGCAUAGGAGAGACUGAACCGAACUUCCCAGACACUUGCAGAAUGUGUGCAGAUAUUACCAAAAAAGUUACACUAAGAGUAUGUAKUAUUACCAUUAUCAUUAUAAUGGRUUUUAUUUUUACUUUGGUUCUUGAGUACAUGAUUGCAGUCUUCUGAGAGAGGGAAAGAAAACAAGAACAAAAAAGACAUAUAAAAGAAAAACCUGUCAUUAUCACCUAUUCUUCCCUCAGAGUUAUUCUCAUUCACUGGAUUCCUUUCAUGAAAAUAAAGGUGUAUACUAUCUCUCAAAUCAAAGGGAUGAGGUAUUUUUCA